CAGCAGCCGCCGCGGUAAUACAGAGGGUGCGAGCGUUAAUCGGAUUUACUGGGCGUAAAGCGUGCGUAGGCGGCUUUUUAAGUCGGAUGUGAAAUCCCUGAGCUUAACUUAGGAAUUGCAUUCGAUACUGGGAAGCUAGAGUAUGGGAGAGGAUGGUAGAAUUCCAGGUGUAGCGGUGAAAUGCGUAGAGAUUUGGAGGAAUACCGAUGGCGAAGGCAGCCAUCUGGCCUAAUACUGACGCUGAGGUACGAAAGCAUGGGGAGCAAACAGGAUUAGAUACCCGCGUAGUCCCUGUCUCUUAUAC
rnacentral:rRNA from 1 species